AAGCACUCCACACCAAAGGGGACAAUAAAUUGAUCAUUUUCGCCACCUCCAUUUAUAUCAAAAGCAGACAACAUGGACAUCGGGGAAAUUUCCUUCUCGAAGGAAGAUAAAGUCAAAACAGACCUCCCAACAGCCCAUAGCCUCUUUGGAGCCCGAACAACAACCAGAGGAGGAGGCCAGCCAGACGAUCUGGGUAAAACAGUUUCAACGACCUGCCAAAUGACUCCACCCAUCAACCGCCCUGCUAGAAGGACCUCAGAAGCAACCUUCAGACUCCCUCGAGGUAAUAUCAGAUUUUCAAGAGGUUUGGACUGAUCCAUCUUUAUCUCAGGUACUGCAAAAAGUUCCAAACAGAGACAAG
rnacentral:lncRNA from 1 species